GGGGGAAUUUCCGCAAUGGGCGAAAGCCUGACGGAGCAAUACCGCGUGAGGGAUGAAUGCCUAUGGGUUGUAAACCUCUUUUUUCAGGGAGGAACAAAAUGACGUGUACCUGAAGAAUAAGCAUCGGCUAACUCCGUGCCAGCAGCCGCGGUAAGACGGAGGAUGCAAGUGUUAUCCGGAAUCACUGGGCGUAAAGCGCCUGUAGGUGGUUUAAUAAGUCAACUGUUAAAUCUUGAGGCACAACCUCGAAAUCGCAGUCGAAACUAUUAGACUAGAGUAUAGUAGGGGUAAAGGGAAUUUCCAGUGGAGCGGUGAAAUGCGUAGAGAUUGGAAAGAACACCGAUGGCGAAGGCACUUUACUGGGCUAUUACUAACACUGAGAGACGAAAGCUAGGGUAGCAAAUGGGAUUAGAUACCCCUGUAGUC
rnacentral:rRNA from 1 species